UGGGGAAUAUUGCACAAUGGAGGGAACUCUGAUGCAGCGACGCCGCGUGAGUGAAGAAGUAUUUCGGUAUGUAAAGCUCUAUCAGUAGGGAAGAUAAUGACGGUACCUACAUAAGAAGCCCCGGCUAAAUACGUGCCAGCAGCCGCGGUAAUACGUAUGGGGCAAGCGUUAUCCGGAUUUACUGGGUGUAAAGGGAGCGUAGGCGACAGUACAAGUCGGGAGUGAAAACUCGGGGCUCAACCCCGAGACUGCUCUCGAAACUGUACAGCUAGAGUGCAGGAAGGGCAGGCGGAAUUCCUGGUGUAGCGGUGAAAUGCGUAGAUAUCAGGAGGAACACCGGUGGCGAAGGCGGCCUGCUGGACUGUAACUGACGCUGAGGCUCGAAAGCGUGGGGAGCGAACAGG
rnacentral:rRNA from 1 species